CCAGUUCUAGCCCAACCUCUAGUCCCACGGAAGGGGAAGACUCCAGGCUGAGCCUUUCACUUCCCAGGGCUUCAAGCACACCUGUCACCUCUGUGGCCCGAAGUUUCUCCAGCUGUACAAUGGGGGGUUAGGGGAGCGUCUAUUUAUUGAGUCUGUUCUGUGCCAAGCACUGGUUAUACACACCCGCAUGCUGGGAGGUGGGGAUUAUGGUUUCCUCCCAUUUCACAGGUGAGGAAACCAAGGGCUGGUUAGAGCCACAUAACCAGAGGUGGCAGAACUGGUCUGCCCUGAGCUGCAGAUCAACCUCCCGAAGGCUAAAGCCUGUGUUCCUCCUAUCAGAAAAUGGUGUUUGGUAGAGCCCUAGCUUUUGGUCCCUAGGCAAAGUGCAGGAGGACGAGAUGGGAGUUUGGUGGUAGUCAGGCUUCAAUUCAAAUCCCAGCUCUGUCACUUCUUAGCUGUGUGACCUUGGGCAAGUUAUCUGACUUUUCUGUUCCCUCAUUAAUAAAAUAAGAACUAUGGAACUGCCUCACAAUAACCAGUGAGAACCAGAUAAGAAAAAGACAUGGAAUGCCCAGCCCAGUGCCUGGCACACAGCAUAGUAGGUGCUCAAUAAAUCAUGUUUCUUCGCCCCCUCCUCAUAAACAUUGCUCCAGUGAACUAUGGUGAGAGCCCAGGGAACUUUAGCUGAGGGCUCCAGAUUUAAAACUCUCAGGACUCAGGAGGUGACUGGGCCUCCAUCACAGCUCGAGGAAGGUGCAUGGCCAGUGGUGGGCUUGAGCCAGGCCUUGGGAUCUGGGAAGAGUGAGUAAAGAAAGGACUUAGAGAGGUGGAAUGCACAGGGGAGGUUACGGCAGUGAGUCAAGUUGUGGAGUGGGCCUUUGGGAGAGACCUACAGGCUGGGAGCCAGAGGAGGACUUGGAUGGGAGGCUAGGCUCAUCUGUGGGUUUGACCCUGAGCUAGAAGCAGGUUUCAGGACCCUGGUAGAGGCACAGGCAGAGGCUUCCCUAUCAAUGGGUCGAAGCAGGUAGGACUUUGAUGCCCAUGCAGUGAGGAGGACUGGUUCUACCAUGCCUGGUGUCCCUGUGCACCAGCUAGAAUGGUGGCAGGAGCAGGUUUGGCCCUGGGAUGGUACAGGGAAUCUCUUGGUGGAUAGCUUGCAGGGAGAGAAGGGGUGAAGGUCCUGGUGCCCUAGAAAAUCGGUGGGAGCCCUAGAUUAUGCAGAGGUUGGAGAUGUCUCUGAGAUCCAGACCAUCUUCAGACCCGUGUUCUGCCCCCAAGGAGGGCAGCCUAGGGAGCCGGCUGGACUACUCACCUCAGUCCAUCCUAGAGGUACAGGCGAGGGGAUGGGGGUCUGGGUACAAGGAGUGAGGAGUCUCUCGUCCUCAGGCCUGGCCUAGCACCCUUCUCUACUGACACACGCAUUUUAUAAACAACUCUAAUACACUGGCAAACUCCUCAGUGACUACGGAGAGGCCAGGUCCAGUCAGUAGGACCUUCCACCCCACAACCUCUACAAGCAAUUUUCAAAUCUUCCACUUUUAAAACAGAAAACGGUUAAACACGCCGUCUUGUAUAUUUUAUUUAAAUAAAAAAAUUACAGC
rnacentral:lncRNA from 1 species